rnacentral:rRNA from 1 species
AUACGGAGGGUCCAAGCGUUAUCCGGAUUCAUUGGGUUUAAAGGGUCCGCAGGCGGGAAAAUAAGUCAGUGGUGAAAGCCUACAGCUCAACUGUAGAACUGCCAUUGAUACUGUUUUUCUUGAGUAUAGAUGAAGUGGGCGGAAUAUAUCAUGUAGCGGUGAAAUGCAUAGAUAUGAUAUAGAACACCGAUUGCGAAGGCAGCUCACUAAACUAUUACUGACGCUCAGGGACGAAAGCGUGGGGAGCGAACAGAAUUAGAUACCCUAGUAGUCC